UCCAGACUCCUACGGGAGGCAGCAGUGGGGGAUAUUGCACAAUGGGGGAAACCCUGAUGCAGCGACGCCGCGUGAGUGAAGAAGUAAUUCGUUACGUAAAGCUCUAUCAGCAGGGAAGAAAAUGACGGUACCUGACUAAGAAGCCCCGGCUAACUACGUGCCAGCAGCCGCGGUAAUACGUAUGGUGCAAGCGUUAUCCGGAUUUACUGGGUGUAAAGGGAGCGCAGGCGGCGCGUUAAGCCUGGUGUGAAAGCCCGCGGCCCAACCCCGGGCAUGCAUUGGAAACUGGCGGGCUGGAGUGCCGGAGAGGUAAGCGGAAUUCCUAGGGUAGCGGUGAAAUGCGUAGAUAUUAGGAGGAACACCAGUGGCGAAGGCGGCUUACUGGACGGCAACUGACGCUGAGGCUCGAAAGCGUGGGGAGCAAACAGGAUUAGAUACCCCCGUAC
rnacentral:rRNA from 1 species